GUAUCUCUGAGACAGGAAUUGCUUGACAUCGAUGGAAUCUCCUAUCGGCUACAGCGGGAGAUUCAGAUACUGAAGAAAUUAAUCUCGUACGAUGUAAAAAUUGCCUGGACCUUCAAGAACACAAGGGCUGCAUCGCCUCAGCCUCACGCUGCUACAUGGCCUGGCCAUUACGCCAGGCAUCGCCCCGUGCUGCCCACGUACAUAUGGCACACGUCUCGCCGCCGGCCAGUUGAUGACCUCAGCCGCGCAUUUGCUUCCUCCGCAUGCAAGGAAAGGUGGGAUCGAAAGAAGAGAGGUAGUAGUCCUGCCUGCCUAAACCAGCUGGGAAGAAGAAGGUCAAGGAGAAAAUAGGGCAAGAGGACCAGACCAAGAAGUGUUGGUAAUCGAAGGGCCCUUCCGAUGUCACUGUGUUGUCUAUUCUGUCAUGAUCACGGUGAGCUACUAAGUCCUACUGUGGUGGUUCUGGAGAUGGAGCUUGCUUGAGGUUGCAACUGGCUGUUCAAACCGAAGCUGCAGAGGAGCAUGGCGAGCUGCCGAGGAGCGGAGAGCUGCGGAGGAUCACGGUGAGGUGCCGUGAAGCCAUCUAGAUUGCUAGGUGAAGGUCUCUACAGUGAACUUGUUCAGAUUAUCAGUUAGUUUAGAUUUGCUGUGGUUGCAUUUGCUAGUGUUGCCUUUGAAGUUGUAUGUGAUGGUUUGUUGGAUUUAUAUCUAUGUACUUUUAUUAGCAGAUGGUGUU